rnacentral:rRNA from 1 species
UUCCGGUUGAUCCUGCCGGACCCCACUGCUAUCGAGGUGGGACUAAGCCAUGCUAGUUGAGCGCACAGAACUAUGUCUGUGAGCGGCACACUGCUCAGUAACACGUAGCUAACCUACCCUUAGGACGUGGACAACCCCGAGAAAUUGGGGCUAAUCCGCGAUAGAUGUAUUGUCCUGGAAUGGUAUUACGUCUAAAGGUAUCCCAUACAUGUUUGGUAUACGCCUAAGGAUGGGGCUGCGGCCGAUCAGGCUGUUGGUGAGGUAAUGGCUCACCAAACCUUUGACCGGUACGGGCCGUGAGAGUGGUAGCCCGGAGAUGGACACUGAGACAAGGGUCCAGGCCCUACGGGGCGCAGCAGGCGCGAAACCUCCUCAAUGCACUUACGUGCGAAGGGGCUACCUCGAGUGCCACCUGAUGAAGGUGGCUUUUCCUAGGUCUAAAAAGCCUUGGGAAUAAGAGGGGGGCAAGACUGGUGUCAGCCGCCGCGGUAACACCAGCCCCUCGAGUGGUGGGGAUGAUUAUUGGGCCUAAAGCGUCCGUAGCCUGCCGUGUAAGUUUCCCGUUGAAUCCAGCGUCUUAAGCGUUGGACCGCGGGAAAUACUGUACGGCUAGAGAGUGGGAGAGGUCAGCGGUAUUCUGGGGGUAGGGGCGAAAUCCUUUGAUCCCCGGAGGACCACCAGUGGCGAAGGCUGCUGUCUAGAACACGUCUGACGGUCAGGGACGAAAGCUGGGGUAGCGAACCGGAUUAGAUACCCGAGUAGUCCCAGCCGUAAACGAUGCAUGCUAGGUGUUGGGUUGGCCACGAGCCACCCCAGUGCCGCAGGGAAGCCGUUAAGCAUGCCGCCUGGGAAGUACGAUCGCAAGGUUGAAACUUAAAGGAAUUGGCGGGGGAGCACCACCAGGCGUGAAGCCUGCGGUUUAAUUGGAGUCAACGCCGGG